UGAUAAACUAUGUGUGCUUCUCAUUACUCCAAAUUUGGUUGCCAGCUUGCUCUUUUGCUUAGUUUCUUUAGUAUGUAGUUUGUUCUAGCUCACCAUGGCAUACUCAGGAGCAUGAAAUAUGUAAAUUCCUGGUUCACUUCCAUUAUCUACUUAUCACCAUUUUCUCAUCCAUGUUGAUAUGAUAGUGUUGUGGCCCCUCACGGAGCCCUCGCUGUGCAUCCACGAUAGCCUUCACCCGGAAGGAUUGGGUCUUUGUUCUGUAUAUAUGUUCUAGAAUUAUGCCAUUGGUUUAGCUUUAGAGGAGUUUCAUAUGAUCCCUUGUUGUACUGCACCUGAGGAGGCUACCUUUGUGAUAGAAAGGCGUGAUACAUAAAUAAAAUCAGGAACUAAGCAUGUAAAAUUUUAAAGCUGGAGCGAUGGUAGUUUAUAUGUCAGAAGAUUUUGAUUUCCAAGUAAAAUGAGGAAGUGAGCUUGUACUAUUUUUUCCUUCAAUCUAAAUAUGCUAAACUAUCUUUAUUUCUGGCGUUGGACAUUGUGUCAUAAACUGUCCAGGAAAAUCUGGCCGGCUGUCUGAUCUGAAAUUAGAAAAUCUAGCUGUGCUUUUACUUCAGGAUGACAAGCCGGAGAAGCUCAUAUUGCAUCACUUCGUCGAGGAGUUGAGUGCGAAAACAUGCUUCUGUGGUAGUUCAACUUUUCACUAGGAGUUGAGUGUGAAAACAUCCAGUUUAUCAUCUAACAUGAUGUUGGGCGAUUGGUUGCUGAAAAUGGAACUCUGAAUUUUUUUAAAGGAGAACUCUGAAGGUUAUUUGGCCUCAAAGUGGCCAUUACCACCCUACAAAGGAGUGUUUCAGAGCUUACUUAAAGAUAACUUGGUUGAUCUUAUUGAUGUAAAGUAUGAGGCUCAGCUUGUUGAUAAUGGGACUACAUUGUCAGGGUUCCCGCAAGUAUAGCAGAUAUGGUUCAACUGAUGAUGAUUAUGCGAAUUUGGAUGGCACCACACCUGAACACUGAACAGCCAUAUUAU